rnacentral:lncRNA from 1 species
GGAGUGAUUAAUCCAAACACCUAGACAACCUGCUUCUUAUAUUGCAGAACUUGCACACUAUCUAUUUUAACUGGUGAACCAAUUAGCUUUUUUAACCAAAUUAAAUUUCAAUAAAAUGAAAACCUCAUUUUAGUCAUUGACAUUUACUAGGGAAACAUGAAUGAAAAUAACAUUUAACUAAGUCAAUAAACACUACUACUAUAGUGAACAGUAACGUCGACGUCCAAGUCCAGAGCUGUACCAAAUCUCCACCCUGUUGAAUGGACCAAGGAGUCCUUCCUCAACACUUUCGCCUCCUCACGCCAACGUCGAUGAACCACGAAGCCUUCACGGACCACCAAACCCUAGUCCCACCACGAUUCAACUCUAAUGGAGCCUCCUUCCAACAACGUCG